CAUCUGUUUGAAGAUGAGUCCGCGCACCAUUAGUUUGUUGGUGGGGUAACGGCCUACCAAGACUGCGAUGGUUAGCUGGUCUGAGAGGAUGAUCAGCCACACUGGAACUGACACACGGUCCAGACUCCUACGGGAGGCAGCAGUGAGGAAUUUUGCGCAAUGGGGGAAACCCUGACGCAGCAACGCCGCGUGAGUGAAGAAGGCCCUUGGGUCGUAAAGCUCUGUCAAUGGGGAAGAAGUUACUUCAUAUUAAUAGUAUGUUGUAUUGACGGUACCCAUGAAGGAAGCACCGGCUAACUCCGUGCCAGCAGCCGCGGUAAUACGGGGGGUGCAAGCGUUAUUCGGAAUUAUUGGGCGUAAAGGGCACGCAGGCGGUCCUGUCAGUCAGAUGUGAAAGCCCGGGGCUCAACCCCGGACGUGCAUUUGAAACAGCAGGACUUGAGUACGGGAGAGGAAAGGGGAAUUCCUGGUGUAGAGGUGAAAUUCGUAGAUAUCAGGAGGAACACCGGUGGCGAAGGCGCCUUUCUGGACCGAUACUGACGCUGAGGUGCGAAGGCGUGGGUAGCGAACGGGAUUAGAUACCCCGGUAGUCCACGCAGUAAACGUUGUAUGCUAGGUGUAGCGGGUAUUGACCCCUGCUGCGCCGCAGUUAACACAUUAAGCAUACCGCCUGGGGAGUACGGUCGCAAGACUAAAACUCAAAGAAAUUGACGGGGGCCCGCACAAGCGGUGGAGCAUGUGGUUUAAUUCGACGCAACGCGAAGAACCUUACCCAGACUUGACAUCUUGAGAAUCCUUUAGAAAUUUAGGAGUGCCUUCGGGAGCUCAAAGACAGGUGCUGCAUGGCUGUCGUCAGCUCGUGUCGUGAGAUGUUUGGUUAAGUCCAGCAACGAGCGCAACCCUUGUCUUCAGUUGCCAGCACAUAAUGGUGGGAACUCUGAAGAGACUGCCCCGGUUAACGGGGAGGAAGGUGGGGAUGACGUCAAGUCCUCAUGGCCCUUAUGUCUGGGGCUACACACGUGCUACAAUGGUAUGUACAACGGGCAGCCAGCCAGCGAUGGUGAGCAAAUCCCUUAAAGCAUAUCCCAGUCCGGAUUGGAGUCUGCAACUCGACUCAUGAAGUUGGAAUCGCUAGUAAUCGUGGGUCAGCAUGCCACGGUGAAUACGUUCCCGGGCCUUGUACACACCGCCCGUCACACCAUGAGAGUUGAUUGUACCCGACGUCACUGGGCCAACCCUUUG
rnacentral:rRNA from 1 species